rnacentral:rRNA from 1 species
GAUGAACGCUGGCGGCGUGCCUAAUACAUGCAAGUCGAGCGAACGGACGAGAAGCUUGCUUCUCUGAUGUUAGCGGCGGACGGGUGAGUAACACGUGGAUAACCUACCUAUAAGACUGGGAUAACUUCGGGAAACCGGAGCUAAUACCGGAUGAUAUUUUGAACCGCAUGGUUCAAAAGUGAAAGACGGUCUUGCUGUCACUUAUAGAUGGAUCCGCGCUGCAUUAGCUAGUUGGUAAGGUAACGGCUUACCAAGGCAACGAUGCAUAGCCGACCUGAGAGGGUGAUCGGCCACCCUGGAACUGAGACAGCGUCCAGACUCCUACGGGAGGCAGCAGUAGGGAAUCUUCCGCAAUGGGCGAAAGCCUGACGGAGCAACGCCGCGUGAGUGAUGAAGGUCUUCGGAUCGUAAAACUCUGUUAUUAGGGAAGAACAUAUGUGUAAGUAACUGUGCACAUCUUGACGGUACCUAAUCAGAAAGCCACGGCUAACUACGUG